AUGUAGAACGAGGGGGGUGACAUGGUGGACCUCUACGUCCCCAGGAAGUGCUCGGCCACCAACAGGAUCAUCACGGCCAAGGACCACGCCUCUGUCCAGAUCAUCAUUGGUCAUGUUGAUGAGAAUGGCCUCUAUGAUGGCCGCUUCACCACCUUGGAUGGGACUCCAUCAAUUUAG
rnacentral:rRNA from 1 species